UACAACGCACUACCUGUUCAUAGUAGUCGUUGCGGUAAACAGCACACUGCUCACCAGCAACGCAGGGGACUACAUCUGCUACACAGACUGGGCGUGGACGUCCUUCGUUGUGCUCUCGGGGACGGCGUCUACGAGGCAUGCAGUAGGCGCAAUAUACUGCAUGCGAUGCACAGGUGUUCCAGGUACUGCAAACUAUUUCCCCAUUUGUAUGACCAUCUACACAUGAGGGCGGAAGGGCCCACGUUUGUCAACUGGAACGCGCUACUCACGCGGUGGGCGGCAAGACGCAACAGGCACGCUGCCAUACUGAUAGGCAGUACGCUGGUUGGCCUAUCCUUCCCGCUGUUCAACAUGGUCAACCUGUUGCUUGUAAGGCACCCACUCGAGGUUGCCUUCAAGUAUCCGAGACCGACUGUGCCCGCGUACAUGACGCCUAUAGAGCCUCAGAUAGGGAAGUUCUACGACGCGCCUGUCGCCCGGGGUUCAGGUGCCGGUGCAGUGCUAACGGUACCCAUCGCUGCGUUGGGUGCAAAACUAAACACGUGG
rnacentral:rRNA from 1 species